rnacentral:rRNA from 1 species
GCAAGUCGAGCGGUAGAGAGAAGCUUGCUUCUCUUGAGAGCGGCGGACGGGUGAGUAAUGCCUAGGAAUCUGCCUGGUAGUGGGGGAUAACGUUCGGAAACGGACGCUAAUACCGCAUACGUCCUACGGGAGAAAGCAGGGGACCUUCGGGCCUUGCGCUAUCAGAUGAGCCUAGGUCGGAUUAGCUAGUUGGUGAGGUAAUGGCUCACCAAGGCGACGAUCCGUAACUGGUCUGAGAGGAUGAUCAGUCACACUGGAACUGAGACACGGUCCAGACUCCUACGGGAGGCAGCAGUGGGGAAUAUUGGACAAUGGGCGAAAGCCUGAUCCAGCCAUGCCGCGUGUGUGAAGAAGGUCUUCGGAUUGUAAAGCACUUUAAGUUGGGAGGAAGGGUUGUAGAUUAAUACUCUGCAAUUUUGACGUUACCGACAGAAUAAGCACCGGCUAACUCUGUGCCAGCAGCCGCGGUAAUACAGAGGGUGCAAGCGUUAAUCGGAAUUACUGGGCGUAAAGCGCGCGUAGGUGGUUUGUUAAGUUGGAUGU